rnacentral:rRNA from 1 species
UAGGGAAUCUUCGGCAAUGGGGGGAACCCUGACCGAGCAACGCCGCGUGAGUGAAGAAGGUUUUCGGAUCGUAAAGCUCUGUUGUUAAGGAAGAACGAGUGUGAGAAUGGAAAGUUCAUACUGUGACGGUACUUAACCAGAAAGGGACGGCUAACUACGUGCCAACAGCCGCGGUAAUACGUAGGUCCCGAGCGUUGUCCGGAUUUAUUGGGCGUAAAGCGAGCGCAGGCGGUUAGAUAAGUCUGAAGUUAAAGGCAGUGGCUCAACCAUUGUAGGCUUUGGAAACUGUUUAACUUGAGUGCAGAAGGGGAGAGUGGAAUUCCAUGUGUAGCGGUGAAAUGCGUAGAUAUAUGGAGGAACACCGGUGGCGAAAGCGGCUCUCUGGUCUGUAACUGACGCUGAGGCUCGAAAGCGUGGGUAGCAAACAGG